AGAGUUUGAUUCUGGCUCAGAACGAACGCUGGCGGCGUGGAUAAGACAUGCAAGUCGGGCGACUGUAGCGUUGCAGCAAUGUGGCGGUGCGGGAGCGGCGAAAGGGUGCGUAACACGUGGGCAACCUGCCCUUAAGUGGGGGACAACUCCGGGAAACCGGAGCUAAUACCGCAUAGGGUUAGUGGGAGGCAGCUUCUAUUAACCAAAGCUGGGGAUCGCAAGACCUGGCGCUUAAGGAUGGGCCCGCGACCUAUCAGCUAGUUGGUGAGGUAACGGCUCACCAAGGCCAAGACGGGUAGCUGGUCUGAGAGGACGACCAGCCACACUGGAACUGAGACACGGUCCAGACACCUACGGGUGGCAGCAGUCGAGAAUUUUUCACAAUGGGCGCAAGCCUGAUGCAGCGACGCCGCGUGGGGGAUGAAGGGCUUCGGCUCGUAAACCCCUGUCAGUCGCGAACAAACCUCUUGGGUUAAGAGCUCAAGAGCUGAUGGUAGCGACAGAGGAAGGGACGGCUAACUCUGUGCCAGCAGCCGCGGUAAUACAGAGGUCCCGAGCGUUGUUCGGAUUUACUGGGCGUAAAGGGUGCGUAGGCGGUUGGGUAAGUCUGAUGUGAAAUCCCCGGGCCCAACCCGGGAACGGCAUUAGAAACUGCCCGGCUGGAGGGUUGGAGGGGGGACUGGAAUUCCCGGUGUAGCAGUGAAAUGCGUAGAUAUCGGGAGGAACGCCAGUGGCGAAGGCGGGUCCCUGGACAACACCUGACGCUGAGGCACGAAAGCUAGGGGAGCAAACAGGAUUAGAUACCCUGGUAGUCCUAGCCGUAAAC
rnacentral:rRNA from 1 species